GAUCCUUUACACAAUUUUGAAAUCAGUUCGUAAACAACAAAUGUUUGUGAUGAACAUUUCACUAAGCAUUCCUUAAUUAUUUAAUGAAAAUAGAUUGAAAUAUUCCAGUAUGUGCGUCAGCAUUAGUUAAAGUCAAAUAAGAAUGGUAGGAUGAAAGUAAAUUAAAAGCUUUGCCAGAAUUGAGUGGAGAGCUUGAAACUAUUGUUAGUGAUCCACAAUAUCCUUCAUUUUUGGAUCAGGCUAUAAAAAUUUUCAUCAGAAUUUUAGGAGAUGAAGAACCACAGUUCAUUGCUGAAAAAACCACCCAUGUGGAAAAUGAGGAAAACAUAUAAGUAGUUUUAAGAAUAAUAAUAGAGUUUCAUGAGACCUUCAGGCCACCAUGCAGCUUCGAAAUACAGAUGUUUCUGCUUUAUGUAAAGAAUAUUUACAAAGUUCUGCCUAAUUACUUGCAUCUUAUGUUUGAACCACGGCCUACUCCAAAAGUAAAAAAUUUAUCAGCACCUACGUUGGAACUGUUAUUGAAAGAAACAUUUACCAUAACACUGAUUCAAAUUGAGAAAAGUUAAAAAGGGGGCCCAAAUUCAACUACUCAGGUGAUUAAUUUAAUCCCAAUAGCUACUAUGUCCUUAAAAGCACUGGCAGAGCUACCUAUAAUUGUUGUCUUGAUGUACCAGCUAUAUAAAAUGAGUGUUCAUAAAGAUGUCGAAGAAUUUGUGCCAUUGAUAAUGACAACUAAUACUUUACAACCCACAGCUCAACAGAGGAGCAAUCCAUCUCUCAACAAAGAAGUUUAUGUUGACUUUAU
rnacentral:misc_RNA from 1 species